AAUAGAUACCCUGGUAGUCCACGCCGUAAACGAUGAGUGCUAGGUGUUAGGGGGGUCCAACCCCUUAGUGCUGAAGUUAACACAUUAAGCACUCCGCCUGGGGAGUACGACCGCAAGGUUGAAACUCAAAGGAAUUGACGGGGGCCCGCACAAGCAGUGGAGCAUGUGGUUUAAUUCGAAGCAACGCGAAGAACCUUACCAGGUCUUGACAUCCUCUGACAACCCUAGAGAUAGGGCGUUCCCCUUCGGGGGACAGAGUGACAGGUGGUGCAUGGUUGUCGUCAGCUCGUGUCGUGAGAUGUUGGGUUAAGUCCCGCAACGAGCGCAACCCUUGAUGUUAGUUGCCAGCAUUCAGUUGGGCACUCUAACGUGACUGCCGGUGACAAACCGGAGGAAGGUGGGGAUGACGUCAAAUCAUCAUGCCCCUUAUGACCUGGGCUACACACGUGCUACAAUGGGCGGUACAAAGGGCAGCGAAACCGCGAGGUGGAGCCAAUCCCAUAAAGCCGCUCUCAGUUCGGAUUGCAGGCUGCAAC
rnacentral:rRNA from 1 species